GCCUCUAUGGCGUAGUGGUAGCGCGUCGCACUUGUACCAUGUUCAAUGCGAAGGUCUCUCGUUCGAUCCGGGAUGGAGGCA